rfam:Triticum urartu cultivar G1812 contig12386, whole genome shotgun sequence.
UACGUACUCCCUCCGUCCAGAAAUACUUGUCAUCAAAAUGGAUAAAAGGAGAUGUAUCUAGAUAUAUUUUAAUUUUAGAUGUAUCUAGAUAUAUUUUAGUUCUAGAUACAUUUUUUUAUUCAUUUUAAUGACAAGUAUUUUCGGACGGAGAGAGUAGUUA